GGGAUAACUACUGGAAACGGUAGCUAAUACCGCAUAAUGUCGCAAGACCAAAGUGGGGGACCUUCGGGCCUCAUGCCAUCAGAUGUGCCCAGAUGGGAUUAGCUAGUAGGUGGGGUAACGGCUCACCUAGGCGACGAUCCCUAGCUGGUCUGAGAGGAUGACCAGCCACACUGGAACUGAGACACGGUCCAGACUCCUACGGGAGGCAGCAGUGGGGAAUAUUGCACAAUGGGCGCAAGCCUGAUGCAGCCAUGCCGCGUGUGUGAAAAAGGCCUUCGGGUUGUAAAGCACUUUCAGCGGGGAGGAAGGCGUUAAGGUUAAUAACCUUGGCGAUUGACGUUACCCGCAGAAGAAGCACCGGCUAACUCCGUGCCAGCAGCCGCGGAAAUACGGAGGGUGCAAGCGUUAAUCGGAAUUACUGGGCGUAAAGCGCACGCAGGCGGUCUGUCAAGUCGGAUGUGAAAUCCCCGGGCUCAACCUGGGAACUGCAUUCGAAACUGGCAGGCUA
rnacentral:rRNA from 1 species